rnacentral:rRNA from 1 species
AGCAGCCGCGGUAAUUCCAGCUCCAAUAGCGUAUAUUAAAGUUGCUGCAGUUAAAAAGCUCGUAGUUGAAUUUCGGGACCGAUAUAUCGGUCGUGCCUCGGUACGUACUGGUAUUUUCGGUUUCUACCUUCUGACGAACCUUGAUGUCAUUAAUUUGGUGUCUUGGGGAAUCAGGACUGUUACUUUGAAAAAAUUAGAGUGUUUAAAGCAGGCUCACGCUUGAAUACAUUAGCAUGGAAUAAUGAAAUAGGACGUUUGAUUCUAUUUUGUUGGUUUCUAGGAUCGACGUAAUGAUUAAUAGGGAUAGUUGGGGGCAUUAGUAUUCAAUUGUCAGAGUGAAAUUCUUGGAUUUAUUGAAGACUAACUACUGCGAAAGCAUUUGCCAAGGAUGUUUUCAUUAAUCAAGACGAAAGUUAGGGAUCGAAGACGAUCAGAUACCGUUGUAGUCUUAACCAUAAACUAUGCCGACUAGGGAUCGGAUGGAUGUUAAUUUUUAUGUACUNAUUCGCGACCUUACGGG